ACUAUGAAUCAGCCUCCUUCUAUCAAAGAAAACAUUCGGCAUUUGGUUUUUUGGGGAUUGGCUAACUUCAUUUAGCAUUAUCUUCUCUAACUCCAUCCAUUUACCUGCAAAUGCCAUGAUUUCAUUCUAUUUUAUUGCUGAGUAAUAUUCCAUUGUGUAUAUAUGCCACAUUUUUUUAUCCAUUUAUCCAUUGAAGGGCAUCUAGUUUGGCUCCACAGUUUAGCUAUUGUGAAUUGUGCUGCUAUAAACAUUGAUGUGGCUGCGUCCCUGAAGUAUGCUAUUUUUAAGUCCUUUGGGUAUAGACCGAGGAGUGGGAUAGUUGGGUUGUCUCUUGUUCUUUUGUUUGAGAAAUCAUGAUCUAUUAAAAAUAAUAUUCCCUUCAACCACACUCACAAACUGAAAUGCCCAGAGCGGUUGAGGAUAGAAGUGAGCUGGGCAUAAGAAAAAUUGUGAUUGCUCUUGACUCAAUUUGAUUUUUCAUUUUGAAACAAAACGAACACAGGAAAACAUUUUCCCACUACAGGCAAAGCAACAGUGCAAGCACAGUGACAGAUGGUGACUGUGCCUUGGCAUCAGGGUAAGAGACAAUAGGGAGUGGUGGGGAGUGUGGAAAACUGAAGAGCCCUGGCCUUGUAAAGGUGUGGUUCCUUCUCAGUGUAGCUGACUGCUGCCGUGUAGGAACACAGAUCUGGAGUGGUUGGGUCUCCAGAUUUUUUUUAAGAGAAGCUAGGAAUCUGCAUUUUAAAAAAUGUAAAACAUCCCAAUUAUUAAAAUUUAGCUCAACUCUUUAAAAACAUUGGCUGGGCCAAACAAAACAUCUGUGGACCAGAAGCUUCGAGUCCUUGGUUUCUGCCUUCUUUAUGUGCCACCGUCCUCUUUUUAUUUAAUCCUCUAGUGUCUGUGUAAGUACAUUAAGGUUGCUAUCAGUGGCCCUAUAUGAGGAUGAGAUUCAAAACAAAACAAACAAACAAAAAAACUACUAAAAACUCAGAUGGUGGUAGCUCCCUGCAGGGACUGAGGUUAAAUCAGAAAUUAUAAACUGGAUUCUCCCAAACUGGCUGUUUCUGAGAUAGAAUUCUUUUCUUCUCCAGCCUUCAACUUCCCAGUUAGCAAAACAGGUCAGGAAAACCUACCCUGACUACAACUUUGAAGUCCUGAGUGAGAAAGUGCC
rnacentral:lncRNA from 1 species